GCCCUCGGUGGCUCAGAUGGAUAGAGCGUCUGCCAUGUAAGCAGAGGAUCCCGGGUUCGAGUCCCGGUCGGGGCA
rnacentral:tRNA from 1 species